rnacentral:sRNA from 1 species
AAUUGCAUGCGCGCCGCGACACCGGCAGCGAGCACGACGAUCAUC